ACGAACGCUGGCGGCGUGCUUAACACACGCAAGUCGAACGGAAAGGCCCUGCUUUUGUGGGGUGCUCGAGUGGCGAACGGGUGAGUAACACGUGAGUAACCUGCCCUUGACUUUGGGAUAACUUCAGGAAACUGGGGCUAAUACCGGAUAGGAGCUCCUGCUGCAUGGUGGGGGUUGGAAAGUUUCGGCGGUUGGGGAUGGACUCGCGGCUUAUCAGCUUGUUGGUGGGGUAGUGGCUUACCAAGGCUUUGACGGGUAGCCGGCCUGAGAGAGUGACCGGCCACAUUGGGACUGAGAUACGGCCCAGACUCCUACGGGAGGCAGCAGUGGGGAAUAUUGCACAAUGGGCGGAAGCCUGAUGCAGCAACGCCGCGUGCGGGAUGACGGCCUUCGGGUUGUAAACCGCUUUCGCCUGUGACGAAGCGUGAGUGACGGUAAUGGGUAAAGAAGCACCGGCUAACUACGUG
rnacentral:rRNA from 1 species